rnacentral:lncRNA from 1 species
GAAAUGAUCGUGCAGGUAACUUGAUUCACUUUUCAAUUUUUAUGGAGCCACCGCCGACCCCCAAUCACCCGCAUCCUCUCCUUCGCUGCUUAGCGCAAUAAGUAAAGUACAACGGGUCCAAACUAAUCGAUUCAUCGCCCGCAUCCAUAAAUAUCACAAAUAAAUGGGCAUGGGAAAUUUUCUACAAAGAAAAAGUAUGAAAAAACAAUAAAAAUUGUUGUAAAAAGAGGACUUCCCGGAAGGUCACCCAUCCUGGCACUACACCCUUCCAUGCACGCUUAACUUCGGAGUUCUAACGAGAUCCGUGCAUUAGUACUGAUAUGAUCGUGUAGGUAAAUUGAUUCAUAUUUUCAAUUAUUAUGGAUCACUGACACACAAUCUCCCGCUUCCACUCCUUUGUUCCGCAACGUAAAGGUUGAACUAUAACGAGUCCAAACUAGUCGUUUUGUCACCUGUAUCCGUAAAUAUCAAAAGUAAAUGGGCAUGGGGUAUUUUCUAUUAAGAAUAAGUGUGAAAAAUAAACAAAAAUGGUGUAAAAAGAGGACUUCCCGGUGGGUAACCAAUCGUGGCAUUCCGCCCGUCCAUUCACGCUUAACUUCGGAGUUCAAACGAGAUCCGUGCAUUAGUACUGAUAUGAUCGUGCAGGUAACUUGAUUCACCUUUGCAAUUUUUAUGGAGCCACCACCGACCCCAAAUCCCCCGAUUCCUCUCCUUCGCUGCGUAGCGAAACGGGGGAAGUACAACAGGUCCAAGCUAGUCGAUUCUUCUCCCGCAUCCAUGAAUAUCACAAAUAAAUGGGCAUGGAAAAUUUUCUACAAAGAAAAAGUGUGAAAAAUCAUUAAAAAUUAUUGUAAAAAGAGCGCUUCCACUCCUUUGUUCCGCAACGCAACGAGCGAAGUACAACAUGUCCAAACUAGUCGUUUCGUCACCCGUAUCCGUAAAUGUCAAAAGUAAAUGGGCAUGGGGAAUUUUCGAUUAAAAUUUAAGAAUAAGUGCGAAAAAUCUACAAAAAGGGUGUAAAAAUAGGACUUUCCGGUGGGUCACCCAUCCUGGCACUGCACCCGCCCAUGCACGCUUAACUUCAGAGUUCAAACGGGAUCUGUGCAUUAGUACGGAUAUGAUUGUGAAGGUAAGUUGAUUCACCUUUUCAAUUCUUAUUGAGCCACUCACCCCCAAUCCCCCGCUUUCUCUCCUUCGCACCGCAACGUAAAGGGUGAAGUACAACGGGUCUAAACUAGUCGCUUCAUUGCUCGCAUCCAUAAACAUAACAAAUAAAAGGGCAUGGGUGAUUUUUUAAAAAGAAUUAAGGUUGAAAAAUAAACAAAAAAGCUGCAAAAAGAGGACUUCCCGGUGGGUCACCCAUCUUGGCAUUGCACCUGUCCAUGCCCGCUUAACUUCGGAGUUCAAACGGGAUCUAUGCAUUAGUACUGAAAUGAUCGUGCAGGUAACUUGAUUCACUUUUCAAUUUUUAUGGAGCCACCGCCGACCCCCAAUCACCCGCUUCCUCUCCUUCGCUGCUUAGCGCAAUAAGUAAAGUACAACGGGUCCAAACUAGUCGAUUCAUCGCCCGCAUCCAUAAAUAUCACAAAUAAAUGGGCAUGGGAAAUUUUCUACAAAGAAAAAGUAUGAAAAAACAUUAAAAAGUGUUGUAAAAAGAAGACUUCCAGGCAGGUCACCCAUCCUGGCAAUGCACCAGUCCAUGCACGCUUAAUUUCGGAGUUCUAACGGGAUCCUUGCAUUAGUACUGAUAUGAUCGUGAGGUAAGUUGAUUCACAUUUUAAAUUCUUAUGGAGCCACUGACACACAAUCUCCCGCAUCCUCUCCUUUGUUCCGCAGCGCAACGAGUGAAGAACAACGGGUCCAAACUAGUAGUUUCGUCACCCGUAUCCGUAAAUAUCAAAAGUAAAUGGGCAUUGAGAAUUUUCUAUUAAGAAUAAGUGCGAAAAAUCAUUCAAAAGGGUGUAAAAAGAGGAUUUCCCGGUAGGUCACCUAUCGUGGCACUGCACCCAUCCAUGCACGCUUAACUUCGGAGUUCAAACGGAAUCUGUGCAUUAGUACGGAUAUGAUCGUGAAGGUAAGUUGAUUCACCUUUUCAAUUCUUAUUGAGCCACUCACCCCCAAUCCCCCGCUUUCUCUCCUUCGCACCGCAACGUAAAGGGUGAAGUACAACGGGUCUAAACUAGUCGCUUCAUUGCUCGCAUCCAAAAAUAUAACAAAUAAAAGGGCAUGGGAGAUUUUUUAAAAAGAAUAACGUUGAAAAAUAAACAAAAAGGUUGCAAAAAGAGGACUUCCCGACAGGUCACCCAUCUUGGCAUUGCACCCGUCCAUGCACGCUUAACUUCGUAGUUCAAACGGGAUCUAUGCAUUAGUACUGAAAUGAUCGUGCAGGUAACUUGAUUCACUUUUCAAUUUUUAUGGAGCCACCGCCGACCCCCAAUCACCCGCUUCCUCUCCUUCGCUGCUUAGCGCAAUAAGUAAAGUACAACGGGUCCAAACUAGUCGAUUCAUCGCCCGAAUCCAUAAAUAUCACAAAUAAAUGGGCAUGGGAAAUUUUCUAUAAAGAAAAAGUAUGAAAAAACAUUAAAAAGUGUUGUAAAAAGAGGACUUCCAGGCAGGUCACCCAUCCUGGCAAUGCACCAGUCCAUGCACGCUUAAUUUCGGAGUUCUAACGGGAUCCUUGCAUUAGUACUGAUAUGAUCGUGAGGUAAGUUGAUUCACAUUUUAAAUUCUUAUGGAGCCACUGACACACAAUCUCCCGCAUCCUCUCCUUUGUUCCGCAGCGCAACGAGUGAAGAACAACGGGUCCAAACUAGUAGUUUCGUCACCCGUAUCCGUAAAUAUCAAAAGUAAAUGGGCAUUGAGAAUUUUCUAUUAAGAAUAAGUGCGAAAAAUCAUUCAAAAGGGUGUAAAAGGAGGACUUCCCGGUAGGUCACCCAUCGUGGCACUGCACCCGUCCAUGCACGCUUAACUUCGGAGUUCAAACGGAAUCUGUGCAUUAGUACGGAUAUGAUCGUGAAGGUAAGUUGAUUCACCUUUUCAAUUCUUAUUGAGCCACUCACCCCCAAUCCCCCGCUUUCUCUCCUUCGCACCGCAACGUAAAGGGUGAAGUACAACGGGUCUAAACUAGUCGCUUCAUUGCUCGCAUCCAAAAACAUAACAAAUAAAAGGGUAUGGGAGAUUUUUUAAAAAGAAUAACGUUGAAAAAUAAACAAAAAAGCUGCAAAAAGAGGACUUCCCGGCAGGUCACCCAUCUUGGCAUUGCACCCGUCCAUGCACGCUUAACUUCGGAGUUCAAACGGGAUCUAUGCAUUAGUACUGAAAUGAUCGUGCAGGUAACUUGAUUCACUAUUCAAUGUUUAUGGAGCCACCGCCGACCCCCAAUCACCCGCUUCCUCUCCUUCGCUGCUUAGCGCAACGGGUAAAGUACAACGUGUCCAAAAUAGUCGAUUCAUCGCCCGCAUCCAUAAAUAUCACAAAUAAAGGGGCAUUGGGAAUUUUCUACAAAGAAAAAGUAUGAAAAAACAUUAAAAAGUGUUGUAAAAAGAGGACUUCCAGGCAGGUCAGCCAUCGUGGCACUGCACCCGUCCAUGCACGCUUAACUUCGGAGUUCAAACGGGAUCCGUGCAUUAGCAUGGAUAUGAUCGUGAAGGUAAGUUGAUUCACCUUUUCAAUUUUUAUUGAGUCACUCACCCCCAAUCCCCCACUUUCUCUCCUUCGCACCGCAACGUAAAGGUUGAACUAUAACGAGUCCAAACUAGUCGUUUUGUCACCUGUAUCCGUAAAUAUCAAAAGUAAAUGGCAUGGGGUAUUUUCUAUUAAGAAUAAGUGUGAAAAAUAAACAAAAAUGGUGUAAAAAGAGGACUUCCCGGUGGGUAACCAAUCGUGGCAUUCCGCCCGUCCAUUCACGCUUAACUUCGGAGUUCAAACGAGAUCCGUGUAUUAGUACUGAUAUGAUCGUGCAGGUAACUUGAUUCACCUUUGCAAUUUUUAUGGAGCCACCACCGACCCCAAAUCCCCCGAUUCCUCUCCUUCGCUGCGUAGCGAAACGGGGGAAGUACAACAGGUCCAAGCUAGUCGAUUCUUCUCCCGCAUCCAUGAAUAUCACAAAUAAAUGGGCAUGGAAAAUUUUCUACAAAGAAAAAGUGUGAAAAAUCAUUAAAAAUUAUUGUAAAAAGAGCGCUUCCACUCCUUUGUUCCGCAACGCAACGAGCGAAGUACAACAUGUCCAAACUAGUCGUUUCGUCACCCGUAUCCGUAAAUGUCAAAAGUAAAUGGGCAUGGGGAAUUUUCGAUUAAGAAUAAGUGCGAAAAAUCUACAAAAAGGGUGUAAAAAGAGGACUUUCCGGUGGGUCACCCAUCCUGGCACUGCACCCGCCCAUACACGCUUAACUUCAGAGUUCAAACGGGAUCUGUGCAUUAGUACGGAUAUGAUUGUGAAGGUAAGUUGAUUCACCUUUUCAAUUCUUAUUGAGCCACUCACCCCCAAUCCCCCGCUUUCUCUCCUUCGCACCGCAACGUAAAGGGUGAAGUACAACGGGUCUAAACUAGUCGCUUCAUUGCUCGCAUCCAUAAACAUAACAAAUAAAAGGGCAUGGGUGAUUUUUUAAAACGAAUAAGGUUGAAAAAUAAACAAAAAAGCUGCAAAAAGAGGACUUCCCGGCGGGUCACCCAUCUUGGCAUUGCACCUGUCCAUGCCCGCUUAACUUUGGAGUUCAAACGGGAUCCAUGCAUUAGUACUGAAAUGAUCGUGCAGGUAACUUGAUUCACCUUUUCAAUUUUUAUGGAGCCACCGCCAACCCCCAAUCACCUGCUUCCUCUCCUUUGCUGCGUAGCGCAACGGGUAAAGUACAACGGGUCCAAACUAGUCGAUUCAUCGCCCGCAUCCAUAAAUAUCACAAAUAAAUGGGCAUGGAGAAUUUUCUACAAAGAAAAAGUGUGAAAAAACAUUAAAAAGUGUUGUAAAAAGAGGACUUCCAGGCAGGUCACCCAUCCUGGCACUG